CCUUGAAGGAGCAGGAGCAGCACACACGCCAACCCGCUGGAGAGAUUCCCGGUUCCAGGUGGGAUUCGGAGCAGGGCGUGUGGCGGGGAGCAGAGACGUGGCACCAGCAGGACAGCAGGACGGCACAGAUGGGCCUGGAAAAUGUGUUUGCAUACUAUCCCCCUGCCUCAGCCUUGUUCUGGCGGCUCCCACUGCAUCUGGCCGCCUCUGCCUCCAUCAGUGGCCUCCCUAUGCCUGACAAGGAUGGGCCAGAAAGAAGAACAUGGCACAAGCCAAGAUGUGACCAUGGAACGGAGCGUGAUGUCCAGGGAUUGUUGAUCAGGUCACCCACUGAUUUGAAACAACUCCGUAACAGUUUGGGAAGUCAGCAGCAAAGUCACUCUUCAGCCUGGCCAUUGGAAACUUCUGGAUAGGAACGAGUCUAAGAGAAGAGGGCUUCCUGUUCCAAUCAAGCCUUGUGUGUGCAAAGCUGAAUACUGGGUUGACAUUUUCAUCAAGCUGUCCAGCACAAGCCUAAGAUCUCCUUCCUGGUCACUCACUGCUAGUUCAGAUGCUUGAACUCCAGGAACUGCACCUUCCCUCAGAGAACCAGCACAUCCAAGACUCUCAUGCUGAGCCCUGAUUUUCAAAGAACAAAAUGAAAUUCAUAAGGAAGCACUACAUUAAAUGAAUG